rnacentral:lncRNA from 1 species
GUAAAAUAAGGUAUACUGCUCAAGGUUAACAUUUUCCUAGAAAGCUGUCAUUCUUUUAUGUUGUUACUCAGUUCAUUGAAGCUAAAUUCCUGAAUGAGUUAAUGUUUUGUAUGCUAUAAUGAGUAAGGGAUUAAUUUAAUAUGAAUUACUGAAACCUAAAAUUUCACGGUGACAUGUUCUUCCUAUAUAACUCCUAGAAAAUUAAGAGAUUUUAAAUUGGUCAAAAUUAUGUUGUAAUAUCAGUUAAGUCAUAAUUGGCUCAUUGUUCAUUACUAGAAAGGCAGAGGGACUUGGGCAGAACUGCUCCCUUUCCCCUCUUCACCCAACCUGAUGGCAUAUUUUCACAUCCCCCACCCUUCUGCCCAGCAGCCAAAUGGGAGGGCACAAUGGCUAAGGCUAGUGGCUCACAGGUGGCAGAGCUGGAGGGGAGCAAAGGGCUCCUCUCCCUCCUUAUAGUUACUGAAGACAUUCCUCACUUCACCUACCCAGCAGCCUUGGGGAGGCAAUGAACCACAAUCCCAAGAAACAGUCAUUUCUAGACUUGAUCAAUUGUGAAUUUCUGAGUCAGUGAUGAUUGCCCAUGUGGAGGUGCUUACUGCAACAACAUUGCUUUUGAGAGAAGAUGUUCUACUACCAGGAGAAAUUACCAGAUUUAUGAAAGAGAUCCCAGAAACCAUCAGGAAUAUGGAAAGCAUACAAGCUAAUUAUCAGAGUGGAAGCCACCCCUAACUUAUCCUAUCAGUAAUCUUUCUUGGAAUAAACCAAAUUUUUCUGUAAUCA